rnacentral:ncRNA from 1 species
UUGAUUGUCAGAAAAAACACAGUCCGGUUGGUAGUCCGGAUGCGGUAAGCUUUCUUACCGUCAGUAUCCUUCCCUCCUGGGUCGUCCAUCUGAUGAUCACAAUAA